GUAGUCCACGCCGUAAACGAUGAAUGCUAGGUGUCGGGGCGAGAGUUUCGGUGCCGGAGUAAACACAAUAAGCAUUCCGCCUGGGGAGUACGGCCGCAAGGCUGAAACUCAAAGGAAUUGACGGGGGCCCGCACAAGCGGUGGAGUAUGUGGUUUAAUUCGACGCAACGCGAAGAACCUUACCAAGACUUGACAUGGAGACGACCGGAUUAGAGAUAAUCCUUCCCUUCGGGGCGUUUCACACAGGUGGUGCAUGGUUGUCGUCAGCUCGUGUCGUGAGAUGUUGGGUUAAGUCCCGCAACGAGCGCAACCCUUACUAUUAGUAGCCAUCAGGUUAAGCUGGGCACUCUAAUGGGACUGCCGUGGAUAACACGGA
rnacentral:rRNA from 1 species